AGAACAUUUGGCUCGUUGUGCACACAGUGCAAAGUGCUCCAUCCUCCCUCCUCACAGUGAUUCAAAUGCUGCUAACAGUCUGUGAACCAGGAGGAAGAGGAAGUGAGAGAAGUGAGACUCAAAGAGGAGACAGAGGGCGACAUCAUCCAGUAGGCGGGGCUCUCCUUCUGCACUGUGUUCAACCAUUGUGUCAAUAAUAAGUGCUGCUGUGAAGAGAACAAUUCUCAGACUGAAUGUUGAACAUCAGCUAGUUUCUCCUGUUGAUUUAAACCUUGUUGUACAGAUGGAACAUUGGCUGUGGAUUAUUCUUGCUGCUCUUUUCUUUGAGUGUAAAGGAGAAGACAAAGUGAUCCAGGAACAAGGAGAUGUCAUUGCUGCUGAAGGAGACACAGUUACACUUGGAUGUAGAUAUGAAACCAGUGACCCAGGCCCGACUUUGUUCUGGUACAAACAGGAUGGAAACAACAGCCCCAAAUUCAUCCUGAGUCGUGUUAGUGGGGAUGAUGGAAACACAGCAGACGAGUUCAAGGAGAGAUUUUCAUCCACACUGGAUUCCAGCAUCAGAUCAGUUCCUCUGAAGAUCCAGAAGCUUCAGCUGUCUGACUCUGCUGUGUACUACUGUGCUCUGCAGCCCACAGUGACAGGAAACAGCAAAACUCUGUACAAAAACCUUUGGAGCAAAGACAACAGAAUACUCCACAACAUCCACUAGAGGGAGCCACACACUGUUAAACCUCUGAUUCUUGUGUCAUUGGACUGAUGACAAAGACAACAGAGAAAUGAAGCAGUAAAGAUCAGAGACAGAGACAGAGCUGCUGUGGAAGCACAAAACUGUUUGAUUGGCUGAGCUAUUAAACUGGCCCCGCCCACUGAAGUUGAGCUCAUCCAAUGACAUUAUUUGUUGGUCAUUGUGCUGCAGUGGAAGAACAUUGUUCAUGUGCUGUCUGUCUGGCUUUAAUAACUCCAAAGACAUGUUGCUGCACCUCUUUUUGCUUCUAUCUCACAUUAUAGGUGAGUUUAAGAACAGGGAUUAAAGUUUAGUUGAAGCUGCUGCAUUAAGCAGAUAUACAGACUGCAUUUCACUACUUUUCUUCUUUCUUUUUCCAGGACUAACAGCUGGAGACUCACUCACUCCUCAACAAACUGAAGUCACUAAAACAGA